CGGCUCAGUAACACGUGGAUAACCUACCCUUGAGACGGGGAUAAACCCGGGAAACUGGGUAUAAUACCCGAUAGAUCUCGACUGCUGGAAUGCAUCGAGCUUGAAAGCUCCGGCGCUCAAGGAUGGGUCUGCGGCCUAUCAGGUAGUAGUGGGUGUAGCGUACCUACUAGCCUACGACGGGUACGGGUUGUGAGAGCAAGAGCCCGGAGAUGGAUUCUGAGACACGAAUCCAGGCCCUACGGGGUGCAGCAGGCGCGAAAACUUUACAAUGCUGGAAACAGCGAUAAGGGGACCUCGAGUGCCAGGUUACAAAUCUGGCUGUCGUGAUGCCUAAAAGCAUUGCAUAGCAAGGGCCGGGCAAGACCGGUGCCAGCCGCCGCGGCAACACCGGCGGCUCGAGUGGUAACCGUUAUUAUUGGGUCUAAAGGGUCUGUAGCCGGCCGGAUAAGUCUCUUGGGAAAUCUGGCAGCUUAACUGUCAGGCUUUCAGGAGAUACUGUCUGGCUCGAGGCCGGGAGAGGUGAGAGGUACUUCAGGGGUAGGGGUGAAAUCUUGUAAUCCUUG
rnacentral:rRNA from 1 species